CCAUCUUUUUUUUUUCCAUCAUCUUCUCCAAUCCCAUUUUUUCUGCAACCCUAUCCCCAAUCCUAACUUUAACUCGAGUCCUAACCCUAACCCAAUCCCUAAUGCUAACCCUAAUCCUAACCUUAACUCUAACCCAAUUAUAACCCUAACCCUAAAUCUAACCGAACCUUAAUCCUAAUCGAAAUCCUAACCCAGACCGUAACUGAAACCCUAACCCUAAGC
rnacentral:lncRNA from 1 species